rnacentral:lncRNA from 1 species
AUGAGGCCUCUCCUCCUGGUUAUACUAGUGAUCAUAUCCCUCGUGCGUCCCGAAAAGGAGGGGGUGUUGCUAAUAUGUAUGACAGUAAAUAUAAACUUACUCUCAAACAUAUUUCAGUUUCAUUCUUUCAAAGUUUUACUCAUGAAAGUUAACCAGGCUGAUAAAUCAUUUUACAUAGCUACUAUUUAUAGGCCCCCCGGGCCAUACACAUUGUUCCUCAAUGAGUUUCCAGAAUUCUUGUCUAACCUUGUAGUCAUGGCAGAUAGUAUUCUAAUUUUUGGCGAUUUCAAUAUUCAUAUGGAAAACUCCAAUGAUCCUCUUCAAAAAGCCUUUGAAGCCAUAAUUGACUCAUUGGGUUUCAUCCAACAUGUCUCAGGUCCAACACAUUGCCACAAUCAUACCUUAGAUUUAGUCCUGUCACGAGAAAUAGAUAUUGUAGAUCUAAUAAUUUACCCCCAAAAUCCUGGAUUAUCGGAUCAUUGUCUUAUUACAUUUACCGUUAAAACAAGAAAUCCACUUGCCCCCCAAACAAUGAGUUUCAAAAGCCGUACUAUAAAUUCUCGGACUACAAAUAAAUUCCUUGAUAUUCUUACAAGUUCGCUCAUUAACGACAGAGUAAAUAAAUCUGUAAACGAUUUUAUCGAGGAUCUAAACUCAAUACUGCGAAAAACAUUAGACACAGUUGCACCACUAAAAACUAAAGAAAUACGCAACAAAAAACUUGCUCCCUGGUACACAGACAAUACUAGAGCACUUAAGCAAGCCUCCAGAAAAUUGGAGCGAAAGUGGCGCUCCACCAAGUUGGAAGUAUUUAGACUAGCCUGGAUAAACAGUACACUACAAUACCGAAAAUCACUCACGUCUGCUCGAUCAGCUUAUUUCUCCAACCUGAUUGAGGCGAACAAAAACAAUCCAAAAUUUCUCUUUGAUACAGUUGCAAAGUUAACAAAAAAGCAAGGCUUAGCAGGUGAAGUGAGUCUUCACUUUAGUUGUAAUGAAUACAUGAACUACUUUAAUGAAAAGAUCGUCAACAUUAGAAAACAAAUAACUGACUCCUUAAAUAGUUAUGGUCCUCAAAAUCUCAGUUGUCCAAAAAAUUUCCAGAACCUCCCUGACCAGGUGUCAAUGGGGACACUUGAAUUUUUUGAUACCGUAUCGCUCGACACAUUUACAAAAUUUGUAAUGAGUUCUAAACCCACAAACUCUCAGCUAGACCCGAUUCCUACAAAAUUACUUAAGGAGUUAUUUCCUGUGCUAGGUCAGCCAAUGCUGAACAUAAUAAAUUGCUCCCUUUCCUCCGGAUGCGUACCAAACUCACAAAAAUUUGCGGAAAUUAAGCCUCUUCUAAAAAAAUCUAAUCUAGAUCCCGACAUAUUAAACAAUUAUAGGCCAAUAUCGAACCUCCCGUUCCUCUUAAAAAAAAAGUGUUUCCCAACAACUGAAUGCCUUCCUAAAGACAAAAAACAUUUAUGA